AACGCAUAUAUUUUUAUAUGAGUAGCGAACGGGUGCGUAACACGUGAGAAUCUACCCAUAGCUUAUGGUUAAAUGCCAUAGAAUCUUAUAGAUUUAGAUAUAUAUCGGUUAUGGAUGAGCUUGCGGGGUAUUAGGUAGUUGGUGUGGUAAUGGCGCACCAAGCCCAAGAUGCCUAGCCGGUUUGAGAGAACGAUCGGCCACACUGGGACUGAGACACGGCCCAGACGCUUACGAGCGGCAGCAGUGGGGAAUAUUGGACAAUGGGCGAAAGCCUGAUCCAGUGAUAUCGCUUUGGGGAUGACGGCGACAUACGUUGUAAACGCAAUGAAGUACGUUUAGAUUAUGA
rnacentral:rRNA from 1 species